rnacentral:misc_RNA from 1 species
UCCCCGAUUUCCGGGGCAGUCUCCCUAGAGUUCCCGACUUGACUCGCUGGCAACUAACAACAGGGGUUGCGCUCGUUAUAGGACUUAACCUGACACCUCACGGCACGAGCUGACGACAACCAUGCAGCACCUUGUAAAUUGUCCGAAGAAGGGCAUGUUUCCACGCCUGUCAAUCUACAUUUAAGCCUUGGUAAGGUUCCUCGCGUAUCAUCGAAUUAAACCACAUGCUCCACCGCUUGUGCGGGCCCCCGUCAAUUCCUUUGAGUUUCAGGCUUGCGCCCGUACUCCCCAGGUGGGAUACUUAUCACUUUCGCUUAGCCACUGAGAUUGCUCCCAACAGCUAGUAUCCAUCGUUUACGGCGUGGACUAC